AGCGAGGCAAGGAAUAUGCCAUGGUGCCACCUCCACAGGCCAUAAAUCCUCAAUACAAGCCAACCAGCUAGCUCCAAGUGGCACAGGUGAUUACUGGAGGAGACGCUGGGAUAGGUAGAUCUGUAUGCUACCAUUCUGCUUUAGAAGCUGCAACCCUGGCCUUCACGUAUGUCAAGGGCCAAGAGAACAGGGACAAGGAUGAUACUUUGCAAAUGCUACAAGAAGAAAAGACCUGCACGCUCUUGAGCACAUGAAGAAGGAAGCUGCAUUAUGAACACAACACCAGUCCUUGGCUACACUGGUAGUCCAAAACUGCUUGGCUAUGGUGCAACCAAAGGAGCCAUCGUGGGAUUCACCAAGGGUCUGGAUCUCAAAACUUGUGGAGAAGGGAGCUCCAGCCCGUCUGGAGCCCUCUGCAACCGGCAUCCUUGCCUGUGGAUUGGGUCAAGAGCCUAGAGAGUGAGGCUCAAAUGGAAAGGGCAGCACAACCUUACGAAAUCGCACCGUCUUUUAGUGUUCUUGGAUCCUUCCAAUGCUCUUCCUACUUCACUGGCCAGUUCUUCCAUCUCAAUGGUGGAAUGUGACGAUCAGAUCAACGCUUGAAUGUAUGUGAGGUGCAGUGGUGUUUUCUUGUGUGUAUGAGUGUGAGCUAUGCAUGAACUGGGGCGGCUUGGAAGUCCAAGUUAGGUAGUGUGGAUGUGCUCCGUAUAUAGAGAAAAGAAAUUGUGGACAUCAUAUGGGUUGAUGUACAAGGAAAAUUCGGAGGAAAAAAAAUAUAGAUUCCACCUGCUUAAGUAUGAAAAUCGAUUGCUUUAAUUAAGGAUGGAAAUCGAUUGAAUGUAAACGUUGAUGAAAGCUGAUAGCCUGAUGCUGAAAAGCUAGGAAAAUUAAGUGUUCUGUUUGCUGAUUA